rnacentral:rRNA from 1 species
GACGAACGCUGGCGGCGUGCCUAAUACAUGCAAGUUGAGCGAUGAAGAUUGGUGCUUGCCCCAAUUUGAAGAGCAGCGAACGGGUGAGUAACGCGUGGGGAAUCUGCCUUUGAGCGGGGGACAACAUUUGGAAACGAAUGCUAAUACCGCAUAACAACUUUAAACAUAAGUUUUAAGUUUGAAAGAUGCAAUUGCAUCACUCAAAGAUGAUCCCGCGUUGUAUUAGCUAGUUGGUGAGGUAAAGGCUCACCAAGGCGAUGAUACAUAGCCGACCUGAGAGGGUGAGCGGCCACAUUGGGACUGAGACACGGCCCAAACUACUACGGGAGGCAGCAGUAGGGAAUCUUCGGCAAUGGACGAAAGUCUGACCGAGCAACGCCGCGUGAGUGAAGAAGGUUUUCGGAUCGUAAAACUCUGUUGGUAGAGAAGAACGUUGGUGAGAGUGGAAAGCUCAUCAAGUGACGGUAACUACCCAGAAAGGGACGGCUAACUACGUG